GGCAAGAUCUGAGGGCGGGACGGUGACGCAUCGGUCUGCAAAACCGACGUAAUGGGUUCAAUUCCCAUUCCGGCCUCCA
rnacentral:tRNA from 1 species